GAUGAAGAACGUAGCGAAAUGCGAUAAGUAAUGUGAAUUGCAGAAUUCAGUGAAUCAUCGAAUCUUUGAACGCACAUUGCGCCCCUUGGUAUUCCGAGGGGCAUGCCUGUUCGAGCGUCAUUUCAACCCCUCAAGCUUCGGCUUGGUGUUGGGCCGCGCCGCUGCACCAGCAGCUGGCGGGCUUCAAAAUCAGUGGCGGUGCCGUCUCGGCUCUAAGCGUAGUAACAUCUCUCGCUCUGGAGACCUGGCGGUGGCUUGCCAGACAACCCCCAACUUUCUUUAAGGUUUGACCUCGGAUCAGGUAGGGAUACCCGCUGAACUUAAGCAUAUCAAUAAGCGGAGGA
rnacentral:misc_RNA from 1 species